rnacentral:rRNA from 1 species
UACGAAGGGUGCAAGCGUUAAUCGGAAUUACUGGGCGUAAAGGGUGCGUAGGCGGUUGUUUAAGUCUGUCGUGAAAUCCCCGGGCUCAACCUGGGAAUGGCGAUGGAAAUUGGGCAGCUAGAGUGUGUCAGAGGAUGGUGGAAUUCCCGGUGUAGCGGUGAAAUGCGUAGAGAUCGGGAGGAACAUCAGUGGCGAAGGCGGCCAUCUGGGACAACACUGACGCUGAAGCACGAAAGCGUGGGGAGCAAACAGG